ACCUCACAGACCAAAGGAGAAAAUGCCAGCUGGAUGAAGCAGAUUUCAAAUCUCUUCCUUCAAAGUCAAAGAGAAUGCAGAUGUUGAUACAGUAACACCAAAUUUUGAAAGUAACUAUUUUGUUAUGGAUGAUACUAUCAGAACUUCCUGAUUUUAUAUUGUCAAGUUGGGAAGAAUACUGGGGAAUGGAAACUACUUGGAAGAAAUAAAUUUAUGCCUAGAAUAUAUAAAAUGAAAUUUGAGUCUAAAAUCAUGGCUUAUGGUUUGCAAAGAAGUGAUAUUUAUUUCUUCAGUGAAACAGAGAGAUGUCCCAAAGAAAUCAUAAGGGGCUCUAAGAAAAAACAUUUCAGUGGAUUUUCUCCAGCUUGAUUUCAAGAUCUUUGAUUCAAGCUUCUCCCAUUCUACCUUAUCUCAUGUGUGGUUUUGGUACAGAGACUUCAAGGUUUUGAGCAAUUGUUAACUAAUAAAUUGUGCAAAAACAAA